rnacentral:rRNA from 1 species
UACGGGGGGAGCAAGCGUUGUUCGGAUUUACUGGGCGUAAAGGGCGCGUAGGCGGUCAGCACAAGUCAGUUGUGAAAUCUCCGGGCUUAACUCGGAAAGGUCAACUGAUACUGUGCGACUAGAGUGCGGAAGGGGCAACUGGAAUUCUCGGUGUAGCGGUGAAAUGCGUAGAUAUCGAGAGGAACACCUGGGGCGAAGGCGGGUUGCUGGGCCGACACUGACGCUGAUGCGCGAAAGCCAGGGGAGCGAACGGG